GCAUAUUCCAUCACUAUUGCUAGAUGAGCUGGUGUGAGAAAUACCUCCUUAAAUCUAAUGAUAUUCGGAUGCCUCAAAGAUCUGUGAUUCAUUAUCUCCCUUUGAACAUGCUCAUCAAUCUUUUUGCCUCUUUCAAUAUAUUUGACAGCAAAAAGUUCACCACUCCAUUUAUCUUUCACAAGCUUAGCAACACCAAAAUUCCCAGAACCAAUGUCUUUCUGAAUUUCAUAUCUUUCCAUUUUCUAUAAAUAUUUCACCUUCAAUUAAUACCUCAAAUAAUAAUCAAACAUAAAAAUAUUUUUAUUUUAUUUUUAGAAAUAAAAAUUUUGAAGAAGCUGUCUAAAUCUA
rnacentral:misc_RNA from 1 species